rnacentral:rRNA from 1 species
GAUGCGAGCGUUAUCCGGAUUUAUUGGGUGUAAAGGGAGCGCAGACGGCUGUGCAAGUCUGGAGUGAAAGGCGGGGGCUCAACCCCCGGACUGCUCUGGAAACUGUAAAGCUGGAGUGCAGGAGAGGUAAGCGGAAUUCCUAGUGUAGCGGUGAAAUGCGUAGAUAUUAGGAGGAACACCAGUGGCGAAGGCGGCUUACUGGACUGCAACUGACGUUGAGGCUCGAAAGCGUGGGGAGCAAAC